UACAGAGAGUGCAAGCGUUAAUCGGAAUUACUGGGCGUAAAGCGCACGUAGGUGGGUACUUAAGUCGGUUGUGAAAGCCCCGGGCUUAACUUGGGAAUUGCAUCCGAUACUGGGCGCCUAGAGUAUGGUAGAGGGAAGUGGAAUUUCCGGUGUAGCGGUGAAAUGCGCAGAUAUCGGAAGGAACACCAGUGGCGAAGGCGGCUUCCUGGACCAAUACUGACACUGAGGUGCGAAAGCGUGGGGAGCAAACAGG
rnacentral:rRNA from 1 species